UACGGAGGAUGCGAGCGUUAUCCGGAUUUAUUGGGUUUAAAGGGUGCGCAGGCGGAGGUGCAAGUCAGCGGUCAAAUUGCGGUGCUCAACGCCGUAGAGCCGUUGAAACUGGGGUUCUUGAGUGAGCGAGAAGUAUGCGGAAUGCGUGGUGUAGCGGUGAAAUGCAUAGAUAUCACGAAGAACUCCGAUUGCGAAGGCAGCUCACUGGACUGCAACUGACACUGAGGCUCGAAAGUGUGGGUAUCAAACAGG
rnacentral:rRNA from 1 species